UCGGUAUCAAGGUUUUAUUGAACCAAAGUAUUUGUAUUUGUGAUAUUUGCAAAAAUGUAGACGAAAUGUACGCAUUAAAGGUACGAAAGACGAGCGAUAAGGAGGAAACAUUCGAAUUGAAGUAUCACGAAUUUGGGAAGCCUUUAACAAACAAGGUGGUAAUAUGAGGUUAUGUUUGGUACACGAAAUCGAAAAAACUUUUUCAAAACGCGUAUUAAAUUUUGUGAAAUUAUAGCCAUAACGGUAAAAACAGGAAAGCAGAAUAUCUCACAACCUUAAUUGCAAAAUAAAACAUGCAAAGAGAGAUAUUAACAAUGAACUCACCUGUAAAAACAACUCAUACAGAAUCUCUUCUGUAACUUUCUCGCUUAAAUUACCACACCAAAUAGUACGUGCGUCGUCAUCCAUGCUUCUGCGACAGUCUGAUACAAGUUUUCAUUAAUUUAACAACAAAUUAUACGAAUAAAAUAGUGAUUUAUUAUAGAAUGUUUAUAAAAACAUAGGUCGCAAACAUAGCAGUCCGUACAAGCGAGAAGGUUCAAGGUUAUGUUUGGUUAUGUUUGCAUUCCAUUUUCCUGAACCAAUCAGCAUCGAAACUAUGUUUAGUAGGCGAGGUGCGGGCAUUUUUGAAUAAAGUUUUAGGCAUUAUA